UACGUAGGGUGCGAGCGUUGUCCGGAAUUACUGGGCGUAAAGAGCUCGUAGGUGGCCUGUCGCGUCGGCUGUGAAAACUCGGGGCUCAACUCCGAGCUUGCAGUAGAUACGGGCAGGCUAGAGUUCGGCAGGGGAGACUGGAAUUCCUGGUGUAGCGGUGAAAUGCGCAGAUAUCAGGAGGAACACCGGUGGCGAAGGCGGGUCUCUGGGCCGAUACUGACACUGAGGAGCGAAAGCGUGGGGAGCGAACAGG
rnacentral:rRNA from 1 species